UAUAAAUUCUUAGAAAAUUUUAUAGACAUUUACAAACAUUUCCCUAAUCGGGGGAUUUCCUCUAAGUCCUUAUCUGGACCAUCAUCUGACGUCAAUACAAUCAUGAAAUUCCCAUUGAACUACAGCUAUCGUUUCUUGACACUGUAACGAAAGUAUUUAUAUGUAGUUAGUUCUCUCUUUUUUCUUUUGUGAUUUUUUGAAGGGUGCGACAGUGAUCGAAAUUCGUCACGGUUUAUUCGAGAUUCGUUCAAUGAUUUAAAGUGCUGAUCUUCUCUAAAAUAUUGUGGAUAUGGCGCAACGCAACUUCUGGGAAAAUAAGGCACUUAAUCCUCUGCGACUUAUUUGGGAAUUUUUCCAAAGCCAUUGAAAACUAAAAGUUUGAAAAUUCCAUUACCAACGUCUAAAGUUGAAAUAUAUUAAUAAAAUAAAACAAAGGAUAUGAGAAUAAAUAAUACAUCUGCAAAUUGCAAUUUUGCCCAUGAAAAUUCCACUACGGAACAGGUGCAAACUUCUCACAUAUUAAUGAGUGCUGUCCGAUUCAAAUUUAAGCACAAUGAUAAGGGGCCUCCUUUUUAUAGCCGAGUCCGAACGGCGUGCCGCAGUGCGACACCUCUUUGGAGAGAAGUUUUACAUGGCAUAGUACCACACAAAUGCUGACAGCAUUAGGAGGGGAUGUUCUCUCUCAGGAUCCGUUCAAAAUAUCUUUCAAGAUGGUAAAAUUUCAAUUUGCCCUUUUCGAAAUCGGGACACAAAUGAAGAUUUGGCAACUAGAACAAAUUUUCGAAAUGCGAAGGGGACCAAUCUUAAGAGCCUGCCAAGAGGUGUCCGGAUCACCUAGAGAAAUUGAGUACUUGAUUUUGUUAACUCCUUAACAAUUACAUUUCAAAUAUUCAAAUUAUCUUAACUUGUUAUCAAACGUCAAAUUUUUUACUAGUUUUUUUCGAUUUUGUCCCACUGUGCGUUUAUGUCGAUACUUCGUAUUAAAGGCUUGCGCAAGACCA